rnacentral:lncRNA from 1 species
CAACUUUGCUAUCUUAGAACGGAUCACCAGUGAAAGAGGGGAAGUUGCUACUGUGAUGAAUUCUGCCAUGUGGUACCAGACUGCUGCCCAGACCACAGUGUCCUCUGCAACCCUGGUCAAAGGUGCCUACAUGUUCCUUCUAGCUUUGUUUCCCUGAUGUUCCUUGCCACCUGCUACUCCUCUCUGAGCUACUUUUCCAGCUUCUCAGAUGACCAAGAUGGUGCUGCCGAUGGUGUUGAGGACGGAGAACCCACCAAGCCCCGUUAGGAGCCACCUAGACUGGAUGCAGAGCACAGCUAAAACCUUUGAAGAGGAAUUUAUUAUAUCCUACAAACCUGGGAGGCAGAGGUUGCAGUGAGCCAAGUUCGGUCCAUUGCACUCCAGCCUGGGCAACAAGAAUGAAACUCUGUCUCAAAAAAACAAAAGUUGGCUAGGGCCAGGUGUGGUGGCUCACACCUGUAAUCCCAGCACUUUGGGAGGCUAAAGCAGGCGGAUCACCUGAGGUCAGAAGUACAGGACCAUCCUGGCUAAUAUGGUGAAACCCCAUCUCUACUAAAAAUACAAAAAAAAAAAAAAAAAAAAAAAU